rnacentral:sRNA from 1 species
UCCUGCGUUACAAAUGCGGUCUUGUGU